GCUAUCCUACGGGACGCAGCAGUGAGGAAUAUUGGUCAAUGGGCGCGAGCCUGAACCAGCCAAGUAGCGUGAAGGAUGACUGCCCUAUGGGUUGUAAACUUCUUUUAUAUGGGAAUAAAGUGAGCCACGUGUGGCUUUUUGUAUGUACCAUACGAAUAAGGAGCGGCUAACUCCGUGCCAGCAGCCGCGGUAAUACGGAGGAUCCGAACGUUAUCCGGAUUUAUUGGGUUUAAAGGGAGCGUAGGCGGAUUAUUAAGUCAGUUGUGAUAGUUUGCGG
rnacentral:rRNA from 1 species